CAGCCACUGCCGCUCCAGCCGCUCCUAGAUGACAACCGUUACCGCAUGGACGAUCGCACCACCACCUUUGAUUCUGUUCUUAUGCUGACACCUAGGUUAUGGGAGACUGAGAAGAGCGGAAGAUGAUGUGGAUCCCAGGUUCAUGUGGGAGAUGCUCUUCUCAGACCUCUGCCUUCGAGUUUCGAGCGCUCAUUUUUAGACACAACAGAAACCAGAGAGAGAGAGAGAGAAGAACAAUGCUUAAACACAAAACUUGAAGACAGCUCAGGUCUCCAGUUCAUGGACUGUUGCCAGAGACAUUUACAGUGGGUUUUACCUGUCAAUCAACCCAACAUAGAACUCCCUCACAAGCACACCCAGAGGCUUGUCUACUAAGUGAUUCUAAAGGAGAUAAACCAGACUUGCUGGCUGAUGAGCUGCAGAGACUUACCUGUUUCCACUCCCAGUGCUGGGGUUACAGAUGCUCACCUCCACGCCUGGGUUUUACAAGAAUGCUGGGAGUAGAACUCUGGUCUUCAUGCUUAUGCUGCAAGAGUUUGUAGCCACUGAGCCACAUCUCCAGAAAACAUUUCACUUUUAGAUGACGUACUGCCUUGGUUAGGAUUUCUAUUGCUGUGAUGGAACACCAUGACCACAGUAACUAUGAGAGAUGAUCCUGCCUGUGCAUCUACUACCAAAAAUGGGGGAGAUCUUUCUCUCUCUGAGUCAGAAGCCUUGUGGAGGGAUGCUGAUUGGCCUGCCCAGACCACCUGACUUUCUAGAAGAUCAGCACCAGAACCAGGUCUUCAGAUUACUAGGACUUCAGAGCAUGUGUCCAGUCCUGUGGAUGGAUCUUUCCUGGGGUAAUCAGUGCCACCAUGAUUUUGUACGUAAGCAUUUGUCAAGCUAACAGGCAGAACUGUGAAGUAUUGGUUCUCAACCUGGCUGGAUGAGUGUCUAGGAUGGGUAGCACACACUUGUGCAUUUGUAGGGGAAUUUUCAGAGGGUUGGCAUGUUGUACACUGACUCCAAUAGACCCACUCUGAUUGUGAAUGGUACCAUCCAAAGGCUGGGAGGCCAGGGAGGAGAUUAGAGCAGGGGAAGACUUGGGUGUGCAAGCUCCUUUUUUGAGGAAUUUGCCCAGUGUUGUAGCAAUUGUCCAAGGACAUCAUCCCAACUCCUUUUUCCUUCAAUGGGAACUCAGUGCAAGGGAGAUUCUAUGUAUCCAGCGGCAGACUGGAACUGUUGAGGCAUCCAGCUUCUACACUGGGCAUGUCUGUUGUCAAUGCUGGACUAUGCCAGCACUUCUGUUAACCUUUUCCCAGUCCAAUAAAUCUUCAGGGGCAGUGAGAUGGA